rnacentral:rRNA from 1 species
GACGAACGCUGGCGGCGUGCUUUAACACAUGCAAGUCGAACGGUAAGGCGCUUUCGGGCGUACACGAGUGGCGAACGGGUGAGUAACACGUGAGGAACGUGCCCUUGACUUUGGUAUAGCACUUGGAAACAGGUGGUAAUCCCGAAUAUUCAGUUUCCCGGGCAUCCGGGUUGUUGGAAAGCUUUUGCGGUCAGGGAUCGUCUCGCGGCCUAUCAGCUUGUUGGUGGGGUAGUGGCCCACCAAGGCCUUGACGGGUAGCCGGCCUGAGAGGGCGACCGGCCACAUUGGGACUGAGAUACGGCCCAGACUCCUACGGGAGGCAGCAGUGGGGAAUAUUGCACAAUGGGCGGAAGCCUGAUGCAGCAACGCCGCGUGCGGGAUGACGGCCUUCGGGUU